UAGGGACGACUCCACUGGCUCUAAAAACAAGUCUGAUUGUAUAGCAGUCUAUGGGAAAAUCACCCUCUAAGGAGUCGAAUGUUCAGUUUUUUCAGUGGCAAGAGUUGUAUUAGGUGCGGCAGAUGACAUCAGCAUAGCAGGAGCAGGAGUGACCUGAAUAAUUCACCUCCUCCUGGUAAUGGGGGCCACAAACCAACAGCCGGAGCGAAGGAGCUGGAAUUCGCUAUGUAAGGGAUGAGAACAGUCCUGAAGAAUAGAGCUCGCCUUACACUGCAGCUGUGACGAGUAAAGAAUUGAUGGGUUGAGUUUAGACUUACCUAUUAGCUUACUAGCCCACCUGACAAUUUGGUUUAGAGAAUUUUUGUAUUUGCAGAGACAGACUACCAAACCAUGACACAAGGGAAAAAGACAAGAUUGACUCAAUAAAAACCUGAUAAAAGACAAUCAUCAUGGUUUUAUCAAUGUGAAAAUGGGACAGUUUUCUGAGACAAAACAAAUGCUGGUCUUCAAUGAUCAUAGUCUCAUAGAUUGAAGACUGACUUCUAAAAUCUAUGAUCAUUUCCAUUGUCUUGGAAAUGUUUGGCUCCAAGAAAAAUUCAUCACACCAGGUGACAAACUCAUCAAUGACUUGACCUGGACUCAUUGUCGUGUAGGAGACUCACAAUGACUGAAUCAUCUGCAAAUUUCAGUAUAGUCCUGUUGUCAUGCUUACUUUGGCACAUGUUUUUGUACAGAAUAUUAAGUAAAGGUGAGAGAACAUAGCCCUGGGGGGGGGGAAGAACAUAAUGAAUCUGAUAAAAUGCCGUUCA